GUGUCAGCCGCCGCGGUAAUACGUAGGUGGCAAGCGUUGUCCGGAAUUAUUGGGCGUAAAGCGCGCGCAGGCGGUUUCUUAAGUCUGAUGUGAAAGCCCCCGGCUCAACCGGGGAGGGUCAUUGGAAACUGGGAAACUUGAGUGCAGAAGAGGAGAGUGGAAUUCCACGUGUAGCGGUGAAAUGCGUAGAGAUGUGGAGGAACACCAGUGGCGAAGGCGACUCUCUGGUCUGUAACUGACGCUGAGGCGCGAAAGCGUGGGGAGCGAACAGGAUUAGAUACCCUAGUAGUCC
rnacentral:rRNA from 1 species